AUAAAGAAACUGUAGACGACAUCUUCUUAGUUAUCUCUUGUCGGCUACAUAACCUUAUGUUCUUUGUUUUGAAUCUAUUGUUUUGAUUCGCGAAAUUCUUAACAAAAAAUGAGGAAGCGCAUGCACUUGACUCAUCUUGACGGGAAGGCCCAUCAAACAAAGUUACAAUCGAAGCUUUUUGGGCGAUGUUGGAAACCAAAUCUCCAAAUACAGUAUCGAUUACAAAAAACUCUCAAUUGAAUUCAGUAAUGAGGCAUUGAGCUCGGAAAAUUGAGUGAAUGGCCGCCAUGACUUAUUCUAAGGUUUGAGAGAAAUGAACUGUUUGGAUACAUAUCUAACGUAAUUAAGAUCCGAAUAGAGUAGUAACCAAACACGGAGGAUCCGCGUCCUUUUACACUUCUGAUUACCUAUAUGCCCUUAAUUUCUUUUUUUCUUUCUUCUUCCUUUCUUUUCUUGUAGGGGUAUUAUAUGGAAUUUUUUUUUAUUUUUUUCGAAAAUCUCUGAUUUGUACUCCCCAAUUAAUAGUAUAGAUUAAGUUGUGUUUCAUAAGAUUUAAGGCAUACAUAUAUAUAGUGAUUAGCUUUGAUAUAUUGCUAACACAACAUAAUGUAAACUUUCCUAAACACAUAAGGAAAUAGCUUAUACAAUAAGUAAUAUCAAGAUCUAGAAUAUAUUUUUCGGAUUGGGCUUCACUUCAUUAACGGACUUUACGGUCCAUAUUACUUGGUCCGCAAGAUACACAUCUUG